rnacentral:rRNA from 1 species
UACGGGGGGAGCAAGCGUUGUUCGGAUUUACUGGGCGUAAAGGGCGCGUAGGCGGUCAGCACAAGUCAGUUGUGAAAUCUCCGGGCUUAACCCGGAAAGGUCAACUGAUACUGUGCGACUAGAGUGCGGAAGGGGCAACUGGAAUUCCUGGUGUAGCGGUGAAAUGCGCAGAUAUCAGGAGGAACACCGGUGGCGAAGGCGGGUCUCUGGGCCGAUACUGACGCUGAGGAGCGAAAGCGUGGGGAGCGAACAGG